rnacentral:rRNA from 1 species
UACGAAGGGGGCUAGCGUUGUUCGGAUUUACUGGGCGUAAAGCGCACGUAGGCGGAUUGUUAAGUUAGGGGUGAAAUCCCAGGGCUCAACCCUGGAACUGCCUUUAAUACUGGCAAUCUCGAGUCCGGAAGAGGUGAGUGGAAUUCCGAGUGUAGAGGUGAAAUUCGUAGAUAUUCGGAGGAACACCAGUGGCGAAGGCGGCUCACUGGUCCGGUACUGACGCUGAGGUGCGAAAGCGUGGGGAGCAAACAGG